GGGUUGUGAGGUUAAGCGACUAAGCGUACACGGUGGAUGCCCUGGCAGUCAGAGGCGAUGAAGGGCGUGCUAAUCUGCGAUAAGCGCCGGUAAGGUGAUAUGAACCGUUAUAACCGGCGAUACCCGAAUGGGGAAACCCAGUGUGACUCGUCACACUAUCAUUAACUGAAUCCAUAGGUUAAUGAGGCGAACCGGGGGAACUGAAACAUCUAAGUACCCCGAGGAAAAGAAAUCAACCGAGAUUCCCCCAGUAGCGGCGAGCGAACGGGGAGGAGCCCAGAGC
rnacentral:rRNA from 1 species